rnacentral:lncRNA from 10 species
CCAGCUUUUCUAACUCGCCCACUCCAUUUUCAUACAAGCCCUAUUAAUAAGAGUGGAAAUGAGAAUGUUUAACUGUUGAAGGAAGGCAGUGAGUCAGGGUAUCUUAAUAAAUGUUUACCGAGGAGAAACUAAUUCUAUCCACCUUUUGAAACCUGGAUUUCUUAAUAUACUCAUUUCUGUGCCCUAUAGUUAAAUGUAGUAUUAUUCACUUAAGACAUUUUUGUUUGCCAAUAUUCCGUGGAAAAACAGUAUUAUUACCUUGUUUUUCCAAACAGUCCGGAAAAGGAUUCCAAGUAUAUUCUCCUACCUUCAUCUUUCCUGUUUUCACUGAAGUAAUACCAGGCAUGGGAAAGGAAAUCAAUGCCCCUACUCACCUUUGGAAGAAUUUCACUACCAAGUCUCCGUGGUUCUAUGGGAUCCAAUAAUCCUUGGCUCAGUAUUGAU